AUGCCUCGACCCUUGUUGCUUGUUUUUCUACUUCUCAUGAUUGUAAUCACCUCUCAGUUUGAGUGGAAACAACAACUUGUGGUUCAUGUUGAUUCAACUUCUAGCUUAUCUUUAAAGCAGCAACGGAUUUCAAAGGGGGUAGAAUCUGUCAAGGAAAAGAUUAUUUUAGUGCAAGAGAAAAAUAUCCGAAGAUUGAAUGAGGUUGUAAGGCAUCUCCAAGAACAAUUGCAGCAAUGUAGAAGCACUAAUAAUGGAACAACAAUAGCACUGUUGUAA